CAAGUUCGAUAAUUAAGGGCAUUCGAAAUUUCAAAAUGCCUGAUUUUAGAAGUUAUGUCCACGAGUCUCCAUUCCCAAUUGAGUCAUUCAAAAUCUCACUAAUAGAUUUUAGAAGAACGAUUUUAUUUCAAUCACCGUAUUCACUAUGCCUAUGAUUUGGUUCUCAAUCACUAUUCCCAAUCAAGCUAUCAAAAAUCUCACUGCUGCCUGGUUUUAGAAGCUAUGUCUCAAUCUCAACAGUAAUCUUCUCCAGUGGAUUUUCUGGGUCGGACCACUUAUCGGAGCUUUGGCCGCCGCGGCGUACCACCAGUACAUACUGAGGGCAAUUGCCAUUAAAGCUUUGGGAUCGGAAAGAAACGCUACCAACUAGAAAAUUAAUUAUUAAAUUCAUAAUUUAUUUUGUUUGGUUGUGUGUAUGAUAAUGAGAGAGGUUGAUUAAUGUUUAAUUUUUAAUUUUUUACUUUUUUUUUUCGGUAUCAUCUUUCAUAUUUAAAAAUCUUUUUUUUUGUUAGCUUGCGAACCUGUGUAUUAUUUGUUCAUGAGUAGUGAUGAUCAGAAGAAGUGUUCUUUUUAUUC